GGGGAUGUUUAGGAUUCGACAGGAAUACUAGUCUUAUUAAUUGCAUGUAAGAGGGUUGUCUCUUUAAAAACACAACAGUUUAAAUAUAACUGACAACAAUAAAUCAUUAGCUUUAGCUGCUUAAUUAGCUAAAGGCUGAUUACUUUAUUUGACUGUGAUAAAGAUAAUCGGUUCAUAAAUUAGCAGUCUACGAAUUAAUUUUUCCGUUUGUAAAAUUAAUUAAGAAGAAAAUCAAACUCGUUUUUUACAGCUUGUUUAUUAGCUUAUAUAAAAAAUUAAAUUUAAUAAAUAAACUAAACAUGUAGAUGUUAAUGAGAGGUUUUUUUGGACGCGGGUUCAAAUCCCGCCAUCUCCAUAC
rnacentral:tmRNA from 1 species